AUGACAACGGUGGUGCAUGAUUCACACACGGUCGUUGUCAAUAUGACACCGGUCGUGUAUGAAUUAUGCACCACCACCUGCAUAAUGAUGCACCACCGUUGUUACUUUGUACACCGACGUGCAUGAAUCGUACACGAUCGUUGCCAUUUUAGCAACUACCGUGUAUGAAUCAUGCACCACCGUUGUCAUUUUUUUUACUCGUGUGCAAUCGGCUGCAUAUUUACCAUUUUUUCCGUGUUAUUGAAAGAGAAAGGACGCAUUGUGCAAAAAAUUUAUUGAAAAUGAAUAAUAAUUCGCAAGAUCCUCAAAAUAUCAUUGGUGAGUUGUUAGAAAUCGAUGGCAAUAUUGUUGUGGUUCGCGAUACAAACCAUUGCAGCAGUCAAGAUGCGGAAAACAAUGAGGACGAUUAUAUGUUAAGGGAGUUCUUAAAAGGAAUAAAUAUGGAGUCGCUUUUUGAACAAUUAAAAGCAUCACAUGUAACAUUUCGCAGCUUGCAGUACUUGAAAAAAGAAGAUUUAAAGGAAGCAGUGCCACCAUUGGGACUGCGUGUUGAAUUCAGAGAAAAGCUCUUUGCUUGGAAAAAACGAAAGCUCGGGAUUGAUGACGAAACUAUGUCAGUUCCAUCUAAAAUAGGUGAAUGGUGGAAACGCAACGAGACACCUGCAAGUACUCCUGGUACUCCCGACACUACAGGUUCGAACUGCUCAAAAGCCAAAGGAAUUUUGUCAGAGGAUCUAACGGAAUUGUUAACACAUACCUCGAAGGGGAAACUAGCGCUUGAAUGUAGUAGCGUUAAUAAGAAAUUAAGUGACGAGCAAAGAGAUGAUAUAAUUAAUAUAAUUAUUGAAGAUAUUUUAACCAACAAUGUUACUCUUUACACUCAAGACUAUAUGCGCAUAUUGGAUGAAAUUUGUUCCGUUUUUCCUCUUGAAAACGAAAUGAGGGUAAGAUUAACAAUAUAAACAACGUAUCUGAUUAUGUAGUUUCUUAACUUAUAAUAUGUCUUUAUUUUUAGGAUUAUUAUUACAUUUCAAGAAAAGGAAAGAACAACGCAAGCGGAAAACUUUAUGCCAAGUAUAGAAACAAGAAGUCCAAAAGAAUAAAGCUUUUGAUUUCCGAGCCUAGCACAAGCAAAGCAGCAACUCACACAUCUCCUAAUUUUUGUAACAAAGAUGUUCCCGAAAUUGAUGAAUCAGUUGAAAAUUCAUUGAAAGCUUCCUUACUAAGAGAAUGUAAUGAUUGGGGAUCGAUCUGCGAAAAAUGGAAAAGAUCUUUUAACAUACGGCAAAGAGAUAUAAAAAAUUUAAGUAGCCAUACAUUUCUCCUUGAAUGGACGAAGUUGUCCGAUGCAAGAGCUUCAGAAUUGGUCAACAUUGAUUUCGAUAUUAUGUAUCCACAGAAAGGCAAUCUUCUACUUUCUAAAUGGGACCAAUUUAAGAAAAAAAUUUACAAUUAUUAUGGGAAAAAUAUUCAUAACGAACAUUGCAAACAACUCUUCGCAAAUGUUUUGACGGCAAGCAGCAUAGAUGCUCAAGAUUAUAUAUACGCAAUACUGUUGAAUUCAGUUUUACCAUCACCUGCUAGGUUUAAAUGUGGAAACGGUAAAUUACGAAAAAAAGUAACAAUAGCUGAUUCGCAGGAAAGUUUCGUACUGCGACUACCGACAAUUAACGAUUAUAAAAGGCAAAUUGAUACAGUCACUGAAAAGUAUUACAAUGCUGGAUUAACUAUACAGCCAUUUAUAAUUGUGGAGGGUUUGUCCGAUUUCAAUAUAAAAGGUUUUUAUGUUUUUUUUAACCACAAUUUGUUAAAAUUUCAAUCGUUCCUCGAAUGUUUAGAUACAUGUUUUAAAAUUUUUCAUGCACUUUCUUUAAAAUAUCCAAAUGCCUGCCAAAUUCCAUGGAUUUUUAUCCAAAAAUAUUUUUAUGAAAUUAAUACUGUAUAUGAUAUAAAAUCAGUUAAUUUGACUUCACUUAUUAAUUUCUGCAACAAUAAUUAAAGUACAAUUCAAAAUGUAUAUUUGCUUUCGUUGCCGUAAGCAUUUUGAUAAGGCAAAUCUUUUAAUAGCUCAUUUGAAAACAGACCAUUUAAUGUCCACUAAAUUUUUAAAAGUACAAUGCGUU